CACGGAAGUCACUUACCGGCGCAUUGCUUGUUGGUGCCAUGGAUGUGGAUCUUAUUAUACAUUCUUAGUCGCGGGUGUAUUAGCAUGUAUGGCUCUGCUCAGUUAGCGGUCCUAUUAGCUGACUACACCUGGAUUAGGAUGUUGGAGAAUCAGGGGAGUGUUUGUUUACCCCACUAACAAAGAAGCUUUGGACUGCCAGGAGGAAGAGAUUUUCAGGCCCCGGGCAAGGGACCCAGCAGGAAUGAUGCCAGGGAGCGGCGCCAGAAUGAGCACCAGAACCGGAGCAGAGCGAGCGGGCAAUAGAAAUGGGAUCAGCAGCCUCAAAGUGAACAUGGCUAAACAGACUGAGGCUAGUUUGACGACUACAAAUACAAUACAGAGGUGAUUUACAGUGGCUCUGACCAGAACUUGUACUCCGGGACGACAAAGACAUGGCGGGAUCAGGCAGGGAGCAGAGAGGCGUUACACCAGAGCAAAGCGAGUUUCAUCCUCUCAUCCAGAUCUCCAUCAGAAAAGCCAUCAAGGCAAACCUUCUGAAAAUCAAAGACUGACACCAUGGUGGAUGCCACGGCAACGGCGACAGCUGAUGACACGGCGAACUGUCCCGCUCCUCCUCGAGGCUCUGCCUUGCGGUCCA